AUGGAGUCAGAGGGUUUGGGAAAAGGGCACAUUACAUUGCUCUACACAGGUAAAGAUGAAAAGGGAGUGAUCCUGAUUUUUACCUAUCAUCACGAUCAUACUCUCAGAGUAUUGUUAAGAGUUACUUGCUGAAAACAUGGUAAAUAUGAAAUACUUUUGAAAAGUAUUCUUGAUAUAACUAUUGAAAAUGAAACAAGACAUAUUUCCCUCCUUUAUGGAUUUUCAAUUUCUCGUGAAGUUGAGAAAACACCGAAUAAAUCUGAAAGUAAGUUGAAUGCUGUCAGACAGGAGAUAUUAUACUUUGGGCUCAUAAAAAAUUCAUUUCCACAAAGAGCCAUUGGGAGAAAGUAUACAUCUGUUCACUGAGCCAUUAUUUCAAAAUUUCAAGAAUAUGCGCAGGCUGGGCCUUUUCAACACUUCCCUGAAACAUAGCUCAGUGUGAUGAGAUCAACAAGCAACUUACAUUUUAGUAGGUGACAAUAGGGAAUAAAAAAAGACUCAAUUUUUCUGUUGAGCAAUUCUGACUUGCACUUGGUGACAACUGCUGAUUGAUGAGCUCCUGCUUGCAUGGGCCAGUUCACCAAGAGAAUCAACACAGAUGUGUACAAGCAAUGUAGGGAGUGGGGUGUCCAUUCUCUUUUGAAGCAAUCCCAUUUUGGGGUUAGAUUUAUAAUGUUUGUGUUUUUUUAUUUUAUUUUAUUGGCAACAGUGGCUCCUGUGAGGUUUCUAAGAAAGUGCAGAAUGAAUGUGAAUCCUUGAAAGUCAGUUGUUCAGAAAUUCCAAAACAUAUGCUGGUCAAUGGGUUUGAUGUCAAAGCAGAAAUGAUUGAUAGAGAGGAGGACAUUUCCUAA
rnacentral:lncRNA from 10 species